GAAUCCAACUUGGAUGACCUCAAAUAAAGACACUGAUGAUUCUCUUGUUCAUAAGUGCUUCUCUUUGGGGUUGUCCUGCUUG
ensembl:miRNA